rnacentral:lncRNA from 1 species
AAUUAAUUUAGAUGUCUCGUGACUCUGAUGCAAUCAUCCAAUAUUAAAUACAUAAUUAAUUAGUAUAUAUCAAAAAAAAAUUGUACUAUAUAAAUCUACCCAUUACAUACCAAAAACAAAUAUACCAUAUAAAUUUAUCCAUUAAAUACUUUAACUAUGGUAUGGUGACAAAUAUACUAUAUAAAUUUAUUCAUUAAAUACUUAAACAUCACACCUACUUGGCAGGUAUAAAAAAAAAAAACACGAUUUUUUUUUU